AGAGAGAGACAUGCGCGCAUAUCAAUAAGCGGAGGAAAAGAAACUAACAAGGAUUCCCUUAGUAACGGCGAGUGAAGCGGGAAGAGCUCAAAUUUGAAAUCUUCAAGGUCUUACCUUGACGAAUUGUAGUUUAAAGAAGUGUUUUCUGCUGAAGUUUUGGUAAAAGUUCUUUGGAAUAGGACAUCAUAGAGGGUGAGAAUCCCGUAUUUGACCAUUAUUUUCAGCUUUGUGAUACACUUUCAAAGAGUCGGAUUGUUUGGGAAUGCAGUCCAAAAUGGGUGGUAAAUUUCAUCUAAAGCUAAAUAUUGGCGAGAGACCGAUAGCGAACAAGUACCGUGAGGGAAAGAUGAAAAGAACUUUGAAAAGAGAGUUAAACAGUACGUGAAAUUGUCAAAAGGGAAGCGUUUGACACCAGUGUUGUUUUCUCGAAAAUCAAUUAAAAAUGGCUCGAUUUUGUAUUGCUGAGACCUUAAAAGCUCACUGUACAUUUUUCGUGUCUUUUUUAAUGCACUUUUCGUUUAACAAGUCAACAUCAGUUUCUUUUGUUGUAAAAGGGUCAUUGGAAGGUGGCUUUCUUUUCGGAGAAAGUGUUUAUAGCCUUUGGCCUCUGCAAUCGGAAGAGACUGAGGUCUGCAGCGUAGACUCUUCGGGGUUAGAUACAUUUGUGCUAAGUUAUAGCUCUUUUAUAGACAACUUGUUGACUAUAAUUAGUCUUGUAGCUUACUCGCUUAUGCUAUUUUACCUACGCUUAGGAUGUUGAAGAUGUAGCACAUCAU
rnacentral:rRNA from 1 species